GCUAGGGUGGCAGAGCCCGGUAAUUGCAAAAGACCUAAGCCCUUUACCUCAGGGGUUCAAAUCCCCUCCCUAGCU
rnacentral:tRNA from 1 species